AUCACGUGAUGAUCAAAAUGGCAGCUCACUGUGACUUCAGCUCCUUAGAACUUUUGAUGAAGGCCUCCUCAAAAGAGAAAGUGGUUAAGGUCUGCAAUGAUGUGUAUGUGAUGGGCUCCUCUCAGUCUGAUGGACUCUUGUCAUCUGUGUGUGAAAGUCUGGGGACUCGUCCAAAUGAAACAAAAAAAUGAUAGAAUCCCUUUCUUCUGUACUAAAGACUAUAAUAUUUCAUGGAUAUACUGAACCACAAGAAAUACAAAGCUUAUUUCCAAAGGACUUUCACAAGAAUUUACGUGACUUGAUAACAAAGAUUGCUUUGGACAACAUGAAUACCUGGAAAACCCAUUCCAUUAGCACUCAAGUGUCCCUGCCUCGGCUGGUGGAUUUUGACUGGAGGUUAGACACAAAGAUGGCUUCCGACUCUAUCAGCAGGACGUCCGUUCCAACAUGCAUUCUACAAAUGAAGGUACAAGAAAAUCAAACAGAUGUCAAAACAACUCCAGAGAACCAUAAUAUCAAUGUUGAACUAUCAAAGGAAACCCUAGAUACAAUGUUAGAUGGACUGAGUAAAAUCAGGGACCAGUUAUCCUCUGUUGCCAGGAGAUAGCCCUAUUACAUAUGUAUAUAUUAUCACAGGGGAAUGAAAAUUCUGCAGCAUGGCGAAUAUUAUGAGCCAGCAGCUCUCAGUGAAACCUGGUGUCCUCAUCAAGAACUUUGUUUUUAUUAAGAUGUACUCUCUAUGAAUGCUUAUUUCUUUGUAAUUAAGACAUCGAAUAACUUC
rnacentral:misc_RNA from 1 species